UACGGAGGGUGCAAGCGUUAUCCGGAAUCAUUGGGUUUAAAGGGUCCGCAGGCGGACCUAUAAGUCAGUGGUGAAAGCCCAUCGCUUAACGAUGGAACUGCCAUUGAUACUGUAGGUCUUGAAUUCGGUCGAAGUGGGCGGAAUAUGACAUGUAGCGGUGAAAUGCUUAGAUAUGUCAUAGAACACCGAUAGCGAAGGCAGCUCACUAGGCCUGGAUUGACGCUCAGGGACGAAAGCGUGGGGAGCAAACAGG
rnacentral:rRNA from 1 species